AAAUAUUUAUCCCACAUUUCUACAUGCAAAACUUUUAGUGUAAACUAUUGAGAAAAUCCUAAAUAGUAAAACAUUUGUUUCUGUAAGUCCAUAAGCACUUGCUGUACAUACUCAGAGGCAGCCCUGGCCCACUGUAUCCACAAAUGCAUCUGCAGGGGGAAUGGUUCCAAGCCAGUCACUGAGUGUCAUCUGUCCCUUCUCCAGGGGCAGGGACAUUGAGUCACAAUGAAAUUUUAUUAUUUAUAUACAUUAUUUUAAAUUCUGUUUUUCUUAGCGCUCAAAGCUUUGAUAGUAAAUGUCAAACCACACUGAAGUUGACUUGUUAGCUUUUGCAGCUAGCCUUACUGCUGUCGGCUAUUUCAAAUUGCAAAUGACAAUAAACAGGUGGUUUUUUUCUUUUAAUCACUAAAGAACAUCCCUUUUCAUAUAGCUAAUAUAACAAAAAAGUCUAAAACAUGGGCAUAUAAUUCCCACUGUAAAUUAAUUAUAAUUAUUUCAGGCUUAAGUAUUAAUAGUAAGUGAAUUCUUUUCAAGUGAUCCUUGGCUGUUCCACUUGCCCUUGAACAUUAACCCUGCCACCUCAAAACUCAAUGCCUUUGCACUUAGUCUAGAAAAUUAAAAAUACAACUCGUCCUCAUCCUAGUAACCUGCGCAAGUCUCUACAAGAGACUGGAGAAUCUACGUGGUAACUAACUUUAACUUACCUCUUCUAGGCUUUAUUAACGAGUUUAUCAAAAAAUAUUAACUUUCAGGCAAGAUGUGGCUAAUUCUUAAAUGCAGCUUAAAACUUUCGACAUCCCCUUGUAAAAAUGAUGCCACGAAAUGUGCCACUGUCCAUUUAUUUCCCAUGUCACUUAACGCAUUAAUAUUGACCCUUCGGACAGCAGCGCUGGCAUCAUUUUGGAGCUGCAAAGCAAGACGUGGCGCGUUGAUGAGCUAAAAAGGACCCGUCUUUCACUGGGCCCCUUACCAACAUCUCUCUCCCUAGAAGACAAAUACUUUUCGGAUCUCGCACCCCUCUUUACAAACCUGAGCGGGGCUUUCGGGGUAGGGGGAGGCAAGACUUUGGUGGGAGCUGCUCGUCUUCAGCAAAGCAAGGGCCGGCUGCAAAGGCGCAGGCUGGCAGUUCGGGUCAUUUCCUGCCGAUUCCCGAUUCCCCUCGGAGCAGCUUGGAGAGGAAGUCGGACUUCUUUUCCAGGCGGAGCCUCCACGAUGGGCGUGGGCGCCUCGUGCGUGGGCCGGGGGCCUCGUGCGUGGGCGCGGGCCUCGUGCGUGGGCGGGGAUCGGGGCCUGGGAAAAGCGGGAACCCGAUACCCGCCCGCGCCCUCGCGCGUCGGCCAGGAACCUCGGCCCCAUGCGGGCGGCCCAGCGCGGCCAGGAGGGCCGGGAAGAGGGGUCCCCGGAGCCGCGGAUGCGCUGAACUCCGGGGAGGGGAUGGGAAGGAGAGAGAGCACACUCCUGGAGCCGCGACGUCCAAACCCGGACGCACUUGAACCCGCAGCGAGGCCCGUGGCCCGCGGCCUUCGGGAGAGCACCCGCGCCCUGCGCAGACCGGACGCCGGCCUUGCCCGAUCCUCGUAUGUGAUCAUUUAACACACGGGUGUUAAGUUCAUUCUUGCUGCAAAAGAAGGCCAUUGUACCUCCUGACCCUGAAAGCAAGUGAAAUCACUGAGACACCAAAGGUUAAUUGCUUGCCCAAAGCCAUGUAGCAACUUGACUGUGUCUCUUUAAAUCUACUGAGGAAGAUAUUCCUUCUGGCCCACAGGAUGCCAAAAUGACUUGAUGAUUUAUUUAUGCAGCACUUGGCAGCCUAUAGUCCAGAUUGCGGC
rnacentral:lncRNA from 1 species